CCAACCCUGGAGCUCCUGUACGGAGUCCGGUCCUCGUGGGUGAAGGGAUUCCAACCACGGGGGGUAUAGGACCGUCGAUUCCUCCCAGGUCUAUCAUGGAUAUUUAACUGCAGUUCUGUGAGUAUCCCAACAUAACCAUGAAGAUGAACUGCAAAAUGUAAGUCAUUCAUUUCUCAUUACUCUUGGGCACUUUGAUGUAUUUUGGCUUCCUAGUGAGUUAACCCGGUACCUGAAGGUUGAUCCGAGUAGCAAGGAUGUUUUAUUGGUUCAUGGGUUACUUAGGUGUUUGGUUUAUGUUGGUUUUAAUGGUUUGUUAAAAUGGUUACAGGCCCCAAAUUAUUGUUGUAAGAUGGAGUAAUGGGUUGGGUUCUGAUAUCUUCAGUCUUCUUUCCAGUUACUCUCCUGAGCUCUGCAUCUUCAUCACAUGAGUGUUGCUUUACUGAUGAGGUUGUGGUCUGAGUGAGCAGAGGUGCAUACUGGGAUACAGAGCUGUCUGAAGUCUACAGGUCUGUAGACACGCCCCCUCAGGGGAAACCGAGUGUUUGAGAAACCGUCGUGACGUCAGUUACAUGGACUGGAAUGUUCUUAAAGAUGGAGACAGGGAUUCAGAAGGAGAAACGCCAGGGGGAGAUGAGGGGGCUCCUCAUCUCAACGACUAAAACACAACUUCAGUCUGACACGGAGAACCAUGGAACACAUUCAACAGUCCCCUCCAGGCAUCGUGACUCCUCAGGAACAGUUUCAUUACCAAGAAGGUCUUAUUUGGGGCCAUCCCCAGAUGGAUCCUGCUCCUCAAGAGCCACCCCCCUCCACUGGGUGGUCUUCUGAACAGAUGACGUCCUUCCUGUCCUCAGGCUGACUAAAGCUGCACCGUUUGCAGCUGUGAAGGCCCCUCAUUCAGGAAACCACUGGACUACAAAGACAUGACUUCAGAGACGUUGAAUCAACCUUGGACACAUUUUGGAGACGCCAAGCAUAAUCCAUCACCAAUGUGGGACGCCACUGAAAAAUGUUGCACACAAUUAACUUCUCUGGAGACAUUGGUUGUUCUGUUCUGGGUGCCCUGGCGGGAGAGCUGGGGUUGGAUGAUGGAAUGUUCUUUGGCAUGAGGCUUUUACCCUGCAUGAUUGUUUGGCCUUUUAUGGCUCAGUGGUGUGUGUUUGUGUGUGUGUGUGGUUGGGUUUGACAUGAGAUGGCUGAUUUUUGAGUAUCACUAGGGUUCUACUGUGUCCGUUUCCCACACCUGGCAUGGGGUUCUACGUGCGUGUCCUGGGUUCUAUGCGUGUGUCCGGCUUGCUUUGAACGUGAUAAUGUUCACACGAUGAUCUGUGUGAUUGGCUUGGGAUAUUGGACUGGUCAACUAAAUCAUACCUGAUGGACGGCCACAUGUUUACUUGAGGCCUCCAGUAGACGUGAAGAGCCCUGAGUGACGCUCCGGAGCGAUAUCCAACACACUGGGCAGGAAGGAGAGUAUCCAACUCAAGUGUAAAAGGAUGCAAGCGGCGUGUUCAGAUCAGUGACUUCAAACUAGGACUAAACCAAUCAGGAUCAAUGGAGGAUGGACACCUAAAGGCAUUCCACAAGGAGAGUCUGACGUUGGAAAGGGACCUAAAUGGAUAUUCAAGAUGACCUUCAGACCUGUAAUGAGACGGCUCUUCCUACCUGGCUGGAUUGAUGGAGAGCCCUGUGGAUCUUGUCUUGCUCUCAGUUGCACGUCUUCUCAGGCUGAACUGUACUUGUUUCGGACAGGACUAGCUGAACGAUUGGUUCCCUAAAAUCAGAACCAAUCCGGGAACUCCAGCUAGUGCACUCUUCGAGCUGAAGUUGUGCUCUUCAGCUGAGGAGGUAAGGAAACCUUCACUGGGGCUUCAAGGUGUAAGAGGAGAAUGUUUCAAUGUGUUCCAUGGUACUCUGAUGAAGACCGUUGGUGUGUUCCACUGGCUGAGAGGAAGAACCCUCACAUCUUCCUCUUGGCCUUUCUCCUCUGAGAAUCCUGGCGCCAUCUUGAAGGAUAUUCCAGCUCAUGUAACUGAUGUCACGACAGAUUCUCAGACACUUGGUUUCUCCUGAGGGGCGUGUCUAUAGAACUGAAGACUUCAGAAAGCACUUUAUCCCAGCAUGCAUCUCUGCUCACUCAGACCACACCCCCAUGAGUAGGAUGCAACACUCUUGGGAUGGAGAUGUAGUGUUUUAUAAGUAACGAGGGAGCAGACUAAGGGGAUUAGAACGUAAUAGAAUGUCAAGUCUAAAUCUUUAAACCAUGAAGAUGGUUGGAAAAGUCAGGAAUUUGGCUUAUUUUUAAUGUGGGCAGUCCUUUCACUCGGAUGCUCACUUGAAAUGUACAUGCGUUGGCUGGCUGGCAUGAUUUGCUGUUGGUGAUGAGGCGGUCAGGGUGACGUUGCAGGGCUAUGGUCGGCUCUCUGUGAGCUCAACGUUUAGAUUUUCUCUGGUUUGUACCCUGAAUAAUCUAGAUAAUUGUAAAAUGUAGACACGGUUUUGCAUUGAAUGAUUCCAGGAUUUUAGGUUUAAAGUUGUUGUACAUGGUAGUUUGGUUCUUCGUAUGGUUUUGAGUGAUUAUAACUUGUACACACUGGGUGCAUAAUAAUGUAAUGUUACACUGAAUAGUAUUAAUGACCAACAGCAACAAACAGAUCUCCUCAAGGUAAGUCUGUUGGCUGUAUUUUAAUGAAGACCAUCGCUGGACUUCAGGAUCUUCCUCUGUUCAGCUCAAGGUGAGGCGCUGGUUACGUUUUUUUCUUUGGUUGGUUCCGGCUGGAAUGUUCGGAUUCCAGUCGGACGGUUUGUGCUUCCCGCCGUGGAAGGUUCUGAGUGCGGUCCCUUGAUUUAGUCCCAAUGGUUAGCAUAGAAAGUUGUAGUCUUGACAACCAUAAGAACACUGACACGAAUUUCGUACAAUAUGUUAAUUUCCGAUGGUUGCGCCGUACUUUUAACCACGUUGACGGGACUCUCGCUGCGUACAAAACGGCGUUCUACUUGCGGCCCAAUUUUUGGUGAAGGCUGAAAAUCAUUUCAAGGUGGAAGACAAUUUGACAUUUCUUCAAAGGAACCUAGCACCUGAAUAUGAGUUGAGUAAAUUUGAUUUAAUAUUGAUACUGCUUAGUGUUCAUUGUUACUUCACUGUUACUUGCUGAUAUAAACCUCCUGUUGCUCAAAGGUGAGGCUGAGAGGCUUGGGACCGGAGGCUUGUGGUGCCAGGAUGGACCGGAGACUGAGGCUGGAGACCAGGGGCCUGCAGCACCGGACCAGAGGACCAGGAAUCCAUGGCUGAAGGAGCUGAUGGAAGCCCUGCCUGGUGGAGGAGCCAUGCUGAAAGCCCUGCCUGGUGGAGGAGCUGACGGAGGCCCUGCCUGGUGGAGGAUGUCUGUCGUGGGGACUCUGGUUUGGAGGAGAGCUGAUGGAGGAGCUGAUGGAGGAGCUGAGUCGCUGGAGGACGACUAGGAAUCGACCAACAAGGAUUCCUCAACGUGUUUCUGGAGCGGAGGCGAGCUGGUAGGGGAGCCGUGAAUCUGGAGGAUGACCAUCACUCUACCAACAAGGAUUGGAAAGACAAAUUACGUUUGUAACCAGACCAGAAAUCUGGAGGACUGAUGGGGAAGACGUACAUCUGGAAGGCAAAUCCUGAGGACAACCAGGACUCUACCAUCAAGGAUUCCUCACACACCUGACCUGAACCCGCCCUGAUCCUGACAUCCUGCUGGUCCCGUCUCCUCAGUUCAUCUGAGCCUCGUCCUCCAGAAGACCUGCUGAGCGCAGCAGUCUGAGGCUGAUGGAUCAAUGACCUCCAGUGGGAGUGAUCUUCUUGACCCCACAUGUAACCGUGUGCUUCCACACGCCUUUCCCUUACGUCUGUCACUAACUUCACUACUCUCUACUGCUUCCUCUUCUUCUUCCUUCUCUGUGGUUCGAACCUUUACACGGAAGGCGCGUCUUCCUGCCCUCAGAGGGUUCAGCGUUAGGGUUGAGAGUCAGGGUUUAGAGUCAGGGACAGAGCUGGUCAGGGAGGACUGCUUUUACACAAACCUCUUCACUUGCUUUCGGAAUGGUGGUGACAUUUUGAAAAGAUUCAUUCGGGAAAAUGUUUUCCUCUGCUUUCCUGUACAAAAUUGUAUUCAACUUCUGUCAAGUGUUUAUGUUUAUAUAUUAAAA